rnacentral:rRNA from 1 species
AUUGAACGCUGGCGGCAUGCUUUACACAUGCAAGUCGAACGGUAACAGGCCGCAAGGUGCUGACGAGUGGCGAACGGGUGAGUAAUGCAUCGGAACGUGCCCAGUCGUGGGGGAUAACGCAGCGAAAGCUGCGCUAAUACCGCAUACGAUCUAUGGAUGAAAGCGGGGGAACGAAAGGCAUCGCGCGAUUGGAGCGGCCGAUGUCAGAUUAGGUAGUUGGUGGGGUAAAGGCUCACCAAGCCAACGAUCUGUAGCUGGUCUGAGAGGACGACCAGCCACACUGGGACUGAGACACGGCCCAGACUCCUACGGGAGGCAGCAGUGGGGAAUUUUGGACAAUGGGCGCAAGCCUGAUCCAGCAAUGCCGCGUGCAGGAAGAAGGCCUUCGGGUUGUAAACUGCUUUUGUACGGAACGAAAAGGCUCUGGUUAAUACCUGGGGCUCAUGACGGUACCGUAAGAAUAAGCACCGGCUAACUACGUGCCAGCAGCCGCGGUAAUAC